rnacentral:tRNA from 1 species
AAAUCAAAAUUAUAAAUAUUUUGAAAAUAUUUUCCAAAAAUUGAUUUUAUAAAACUUUUUUUAAUGA